AUCCGCCGGUGGAUUUUUAGCCCUGGUGGGUAGCUUCCCGGAAACGAAAGUCUUCCGGUUCCGGGGGAAGUAUGGUUGCAAAGCUGAAACUUAAAGGAAUUGACGGAAGGGCACCACCAGGAGUGGAGCCUGCGGCUUAAUUUGACUCAACACGGGGAAACUCACCCGGCCCGGACACCGUAAGGAUUGACAGAUUGAUAGCUCUUUCAUGAUUCGGUGGUUGGUGGUGCAUGGCCGUUCUUAGUUCGUGGAUCGAUUUGUCUGGUUUAUUCCGAUAACGAGCGAGACUCUAGCCUACUAAAUAGUAACGAGAUUAUCAAUGUCUCAGUUGCUUCUUAGAGGGAUUUUCGGUGUUUAGCCGCACGAGAUUGAGCAAUAACAGGUCUGUGAUGCCCUUAGAUGUCCGGGGCUGCACGCGCGCUACACUGGCGAAAUCAGCGUGCUGUAUCCAUUCUCGAAAGGGAUUGGUAAACCCAUGAAAAUUUGCCGUGCUUGGGAUCGGAAAUUGCAAUUAUUUUCCGUGAACGAGGAAUUCCAAGUAAGUGCGAGUCAUCAACUCGCUC
rnacentral:rRNA from 1 species